rnacentral:rRNA from 1 species
CCCAAAAUAUAUGUUAAGUGGAAAAGGAUGUGGCGUUGCCCAGACAACUAGGAUGUUGGCUUAGAAGCAGCCAUCAUUUAAAGAGUGCGUAAUAGCUCACUAGUCGAGUGACACUGCGCCGAAAAUGUACCGGGGCUAAACAUAUUACCGAAGCUGUGGAUUGUCCUUUGGACAAUGGUAGGAGAGCGUUCUAAGGGCGUUGAAGCAUGAUCGUAAGGACAUGUGGAGCGCUUAGAAGUGAGAAUGCCGGUGUGAGUAGCGAAAGACGGGUGAGAAUCCCGUCCACCGAUUGACUAAGGUUUCCAGAGGAAGGCUCGUCCGCUCUGGGUUAGUCGGGUCCUAAGCUGAGGCCGACAGGCGUAGGCGAUGGAUAACAGGUUGAUAUUCCUGUACCACCUAUAAUCGUUUUAAUCGAUGGGGGGACGCAGUAGGAUAGGCGAAGCGUGCGAUUGGAUUGCACGUCUAAGCAGUAAGGCUGAGUAUUAGGCAAAUCCGGUACUCGUUAAGGCUGAGCUGUGAUGGGGAGAAGACAUUGAGUCUUCGAGUCGUUGAUUUCACACUGCCGAGAAAAGCCUCUAGAUAGAAAAUAGGUGCCCGUACCGCAAACCGACACAGGUAGUCAAGAUGAGAAUUCUAAGGUGAGCGAGCGAACUCUCGUUAAGGAACUCGGCAAAAUGACCCCGUAACUUCGGGAGAAGGGGUGCUCUUUAGGGUUAACGCCCAGAAGAGCCGCAGUGAAUAGGCCCAAGCGACUGUUUAUCAAAAACACAGGUCUCUGCUAAACCGUAAGGUGAUGUAUAGGGGCUGACGCCUGCCCGGUGCUGGAAGGUUAAGAGGAGUGGUUAGCUUCUGCGAAGCUACGAAUCGAAGCCCCAGUAAACGGCGGCCGUAACUAUAACGGUCCUAAGGUAGCGAAAUUCCUUGUCGGGUAAGUUCCGACCCGCACGAAAGGCGUAACGAUUUGGGCACUGUCUCAACGAGAGACUCGGUGAAAUCAUAGUACCUGUGAAGAUGCAGGUUACCCGCGACAGGACGGAAAGACCCCGUGGAGCUUUACUGUAGCCUGAUAUUGAAAUUCGGCACAGCUUGUACAGGAUAGGUAGGAGCCUUUGAAACGUGAGCGCUAGCUUACGUGGAGGCGCUGGUGGGAUACUACCCUAGCUGUGUUGGCUUUCUAACCCGCACCACUUAUCGUGGUGGGAGACAGUGUCA